UGGCUUAAGCACCUGAGAAGACCCUUGC
rnacentral:piRNA from 1 species